rnacentral:lncRNA from 1 species
CUCCCAUCCUGUUGUCUAACGCACAUGGUUUUUUUAAACUUUUCUAAGAUUGCAUGAGAUUCUGCAACACAACUGAUUAUAAAAACACUUGAAGUUUUUACCUUUUUUUUUACUUUCCAACUCUCGUGAAUGUACAGAGGACUUUCCAGAAGCUACAUGAUGUGUGAUAUUUCAGCUGAUGAAAUGUAGAUGUAUAGAAACGACUUUUGAUCAUCAGCGCGCAUGACUGCUCCCUGAAAGGAAGAACAAUAAUGUUAAUUACCCGCAGACUGUGUUUGCUCCAGGCUUUCGGCAUUAUGUCUGUACUGAAUAAAAGCAAGCAGCUCCAGCUGUUCGAGGCUGCUCUCUUCUUCAGCCAUUAGUGCCGGGCAGCCCACUAGCUGCUGUUACACUGCAUAUCUGUGUCUGAGUACUCCUUUCUUCAGUUGCUUGGCCAGGGUCUGUGGGACAGACCCAGCAGCUGGUGCCCUGUGUGAGGAACGCUGCAAUGGAUCGCGACGGAACCCUCGAAAACGAAGGUGAAGAGACUGCGCAGUAAGCCAGUAAUUGGAAUUGGAGCCCUCUUG